rnacentral:rRNA from 1 species
AUUGAACGCUGGCGGCAGGCUUAACACAUGCAAGUCGAGCGAGCGGCGGACGGGUGAGUAAUGUCUGGGAAACUUCCUGAUGGAGGGGGAUAACUACUGGAAACGGUAGCUAAUACCGCAUCCCAUCAGAUGUGCCCAGAUGGGAUUAGCUAGGAGGUGGGGUAAUGGCUCACCUAGGCGACGAUCCCUAGCUGGUCGGAGAGGAUGACCGCCGGCACGGGAACUGUGCCACGGUCCAGAGGCCUACGGGAGGGAGCAGUGGUGAAUAGUGCACAAUGGGCGCAAGCCUGAUGCAGCCAUGCCGCGUGUGUUAAGAAGGCCUUCGGGUUGUAAAGCACUUCCAGCGAGGAGGCGUUACUCGCAGAAGAAGCACCGGCUAACUCCGUGCCAGCAGCCGCGGUAAUAC